UAGAUUGGCCUUGAAACCUAGGAUCCUUC
rnacentral:piRNA from 1 species